GCCCUUUGUUUUUCUGUCUUCUGUUGUCCUGUGUGCUGUAACGUCCUACCAUAGUCCUUUCUACCACUAGCAGCUUUUCUGAUCUGCUGCGAAAUUGGGUAAUCAGGUUAGAACUGUGUCUUUUAAACUGUUCUCGGUGAAGACAUCCAUCUCUUCCUUGUGUUCCCUAGUGCCCUGCUGCUCAGAGAGGGGCCUGCAGACGAACGGCAGCAGCUCGCUGGACAGAAAUGCAGACUCGUGGGCCGCACUCCAGAACUGCUGAGUCCGAGUCAGCGUUUUAACGAGGUUCUCAGGAUAUCCCUGGUGAUCUUGGAAGAGUCUGUGUCAUGGAAUCUAUCUCGAUGAUGGGAAGCCCUAAGAGCCUUAGUGAUACUUUUUUGCCUAAUGGCAUAAAUAGUAUCAAAGAUGCGAGGAAGGUCACCGUAGGUGUAAUUGGAAGUGGGGAUUUUGCCAAAUCCCUGACCAUUCGACUGAUUAGAUGUGGCUAUCAUGUGGUCAUAGGAAGUAGAAAUCCUAAAUUUGCUUCUGAAUUUUUUCCUCAUGUGGUAGAUGUCACUCAUCAUGAAGAUGUUCUAACAAAAACAAAUAUAAUAUUUGUUGCUAUACACAGAGAACAUUACACCUCCCUGUGGGACCUGAGACAUCUGCUCGUGGGUAAAAUCCUGAUUGACGUGAGCAAUAACAUGAGGGUAAACCAAUACCCAGAGUCCAAUGCUGAAUAUUUGGCUUCCUUAUUCCCGGAUUCACUGGUUGUCAAAGGAUUUAACGUUAUCUCAGCCUGGGCACUUCAGUUAGGGCCAAAGGAUGCCAGCCGGCAGGUGUGUAUUUUUACAUCUUAUUCUUGUUUAUCUAGUAUUUUGUGGUUAUGUAGUUAAACAAAUAGCAUACAUUUAAAAACCAAAUUCAGACCCCCUCCAAUGAUUAUCAUUUAGAAAACUAUGUAUGAGCACCCGAAAGUCCUGACCUCGUCGGGGCACACAUCUUUUCUUGGACUUUUCUGUCAUAACCAGCUAAUCCAAGAAAAGGCAAGGUUUGCUGAUGAAGAAUGGAACACAUUGAAUUGAUCUCUCCUUGCCUCCUCCAAAAUAGAAAGAAACAGCAAGCAUGUCCUUUGUCUUUCCUCCCUCUUCCUUCUCCCCUCUUCCUUGCUUGCAACUAUUCUGUAGCUGUAUUCCAUCACUGUGUGAAAUACGACUUAAUGUGACCCUCCAGAAGAAUGCUUUGGGAGUACCUUUUUAUUUUACAUAGGUUAUUCAUAGAACUUAUUAAAACACAGUAGUACAGCUUAUUUUAUUGUUAAGUGUAGGUUUUAAUCCCUGUGGGCAAGAUAGAAGCAGAUUGGAUUUCUUAGGUUCUCGGUUAGUGAGGGGUUGUGUCUAGUUCACCUUGAAAAUCAAAGCAGAUGGGGAACUCCCUCCAUGCCUUUGUGGAAUGAGAGCCUUUGUAAGUAAACAUAUGAAUAGUGCGCCUUAAAGGUGUGAUGCUGCAUUAUAAUUAAGCAUGAUGAAAAAUACCUUCGUUAUUUUUGUCCAUAACGAUAGUUGAUUAGGAGUCUUAGAAAAUAAAUUCAAGUAUUAUAUCACUGCAUGCUGCAUGUCAUUCACAAUAGCCGUUCACUUUCGGGUCUUUAAU